GCAAACUGCUUGUGGGGGUGGGGGGGUGGAAAUCAAUGAUUAAGGUGUUGAAGCACACCAUCUGCUUUGAUUUCACUGUUACAAAUACACCUGAGUUGCCAUCUUUAACUGCACAUCCCUACACCGCACAAGGAAGUUUUCUUGCACUCGUGUUUGUGUUCUACCUCAGCCUUGACAUGGAAAAUAAUAGGAAACUCCUUGGCAGGAAUAAGAGAAAUAGCAAUAAGAUGCCUGGCAAGAGGAUUUAGGCAAUCUCAUAUUUGCCUUGUGACUUUUAACUGGAAUGAGGCUCGAGCUGGGAAGGGAAAAUGUGCAUUUGGUGGACAGAAAAAAAAUAUUGCUGGGAAACAAGAUAUAAACAAGAGGGGACAUAGACUUUUUUUUGUCUGUGACUGUGCUGCUUUAUGAGGGAAACAAGAGCAACCUCAUUCAGAGUGAAUCCAGUCACUCUAGUGCAUCUCUUCUCCCAGAAUUAUCCUAAAGAGUAUUCCAAGAGGAAAAAAAAAACUUUUCCUGUCACAGCAGCAGUUAUUGGGAUGGUGGAACUGGAGCUGCCCAGUGGAGAUGGGGAUUUUUAGCCAAUUCCAUUUUUCCUAUAGGCUAAUCUGUCUGAUUUGCAUUGACUUCCUUUAGAUUUCUGUAUUUUUAGAACCUUCCCUGUAGGAAGUGCACCAUACAAGCUCCAUUCUCUCCCCACGCUGUCUGCAGAUGGAAUGCUCCCAUUAAAGAUGGUUUGGUUUGCAGUUUUUGUCUUUCUUUUGAUGACUUGACAUCUUAUUCAGUUGACUUUGAGGCUCAUGCUUCAUGGCUGAUGAAAUCAGGCAGUUUCUGAGCAGGAAUAACAUCAUUUUUGGCCAUGCACAGGUAGAAGACCUGUCAGCAGGUUACUGUUUCCUGAUGAAGAAAGAGCUGGAAUGCUUUGCUAAGGCCCUGGAAAGUCUGGAGAGCCCCUUUUAGCAAUUCUUGAAGCAGCUAAAGUUCAGGCUAAGAUUCAGCUGAUCCCAUACUGUUUUCAGCUGUUGACUACUCCAAUAUUAAUCCACAUUUAGGCAGGAAACCCUUUAGGUUUUGUUUCUAUGAUUCCAUACAUGACUGAUUACAACAGCUUUUGAGCAUCAUGCAGUUUAAAAAAAAAUGCAGGGGUUUUCCAGCAGGAUUGGAAAGGAUGGGAGGAAAUUUUUAUCUCCAUGGGUCAGUGUUAGACAUAAGGACAGCUGAAGUCUCCUCCCCAGUGCAUGUCAAAUCCUGUGUUCCAGGACCUGUUCUCAGAGAACAGCCCUUGUUCAGCCCAAGAGCGGAUUUGUUUCAGAAACCCAACAAUUUGUGUUUCAUUAAGUGGAUUAACCAAGUCCCUCAGGAGUGCUUGUCUGAAUCAUUCAGGAUUUUCCUUCAAGAGGAGCAGGAAACCUUUGCCAGGGAAAUUGAAAUCAAUAGAGAGCUGGAGAAAAAAGGAAUGGCAAAUUGUUGAUGGUUUGUAGCAUAAGAACUUCAACAGCCCAAAAGAUAUUUACUCCUACUGAAUGCCAUAUGCAAGUACCACAAUUAAUGUUUUGAAAGAUGUGACAAGGUCGAGAGAGCAAUUAAGCGUCUUAACAAAGUUCAAGAAGGAGUCUGUGGAAAUCAUGAUGGAAUUUUUUGGCUGGUAAUACGCUAAGGGCCAUUAAAAGUUACAAGAAACUAUUUAAAUGUUCACUAGUUUUGGGCCUCUUGUUAAAAUGUUAUGUUUUUCUCAGACACUUGAGGGAUUGAGAGGAUUUUCUCCCCUUUGAUGUAUUCUAUCUGCUCUAGGCUAAAAACACGCAUCAGAAAAUAAUUUUUUUUUAUAUUUAAUUUUUAAUGACAUACAGCUGCUGGAGGGAAUUUUUUUUUUCCCCUUAACAUAGCACAAUCCCACCCAGAAAAAAGAUAAUUUUGAUUUUUCACUAUUGUUUUCACUGCUGCUCAGGGACCAGAGAAAGGCAUGGUUCAGCAUUUCAGCCUGGGCAGACACUUGCAAAUAUCUCUGGCUUUGAAGUAGACUGAAAAUCACCCAUCAGAGUGGUUUAUCAUCACAAACUGCUUCAGUGAAACCAAAAUCUCAGUCCCACUGAAGUACGCUUUGGGAGGGGCUUUAAGACACCUGUUGCUAUUAUUUUAUAUUUUAAACUCUAUUUCCAAAUAUAACAAGUAAAAUUACGUAUCAUUUAGACUGAUAUGAGGUUACAGUACAAUUGCUGAAAUAAUUCAAAAUUGUCAGUUUAUCUUUUAAAAACACUGCAGGAAACAGCUGUUUAACAGUGAUGGGAAAUAUCAUCAGAAGGAAUAAUAAAGAUCAAAGAAAUACUCAGUUAACCAAUUAAAGAAGUGGUACCUUCCAAUAUAUUUAAAUUAGGCUGGAUUUUUUUUUUUUUUUUGUGUGUGUGUGUGUGUGAUAUUAAAAACAGCUAUCCUCAUGCAGGGCUAAUUUGUUAUCAAACAGAAAGGGAACUUUAAGAAGAAAAGAUUUUUAUUAAUUACCCUUAAUUACUCAAAUAUUUCAACUAUUAUUGCCUGGCGUGGUAGUAUGUUCAUAACCUCAUUAAUGUGGAAAGCUGUGAGAUGGGUAGAAAAAUCAAAAUACAGAGAAUUUUAUUAAUUGAUAUCCUGAACUCUGGGGAGGAAUUUUCACUUAAUUCCCAAUGCUGUCUGUAAUGGAACAUUUUUAUAUAAACCUUUAAACUUCUAUCCAGACUGGUACCCAAGCGUGUAACUGAAAUAAGUUUGAGCUUUCUCCUUCAGACAGACUUUGCAAAUUCUUGUUACAGUAACAGGGAGCUUCCAGAAGUGUGGAAGUAUUAAAAACUAACCUGAAGAGGAUGUGUGUAUGAAAAUACGUGGCUGUACCUAUGUUUAGCUUGUCAAAGAAACACAAAUCUGUGUGAUCCUGUGGGAGGAUCAGCUUCCCUGCCUCUCUAACCCUGAACUGGGCUUCAGCUCUGAAAUCCUCAGCUGCAGAUUAAUUUUCCUGCCUGUUUUAAGCAGUAGAGACAGAAAGAAAUCUCUAAACCAGGAUUGUUUUUUUUCCUCCCAGGAGUUUCUAACCGAUGCAGCUCUAAGGGUGAUGAAAAAGGAUUGUGUAAACAGAGCAGCACUUGUCCUGUGACAAAGGGAGAACCUGGGCUGGCUGUGAUGGGUUUGAGCUGAGCCACAGGUGCAGAAGAGACACUGUUGGUUGAUAUUCCCUGAGUUAUUAUCCUGAGUGGGAGAUGUAGGAUAUAUUUCAGUUUUGUAUCUUGUAUUUUGUAGUUUUUAUGGCAGGCUUAUGCAUUCAGAGCCCUUCUUGACAGCUCUGCAUGGUUGUUUUAAAUCUGAUCUUCACCCUCAUCUGACACAAGCUGCUUGCUCUGAGAAACUUGUGUCUUAUGCAAGCCACAGGACAAAUUCCUGCCCAAAUUUCCUAACCAAAUUCCUGCCACAUCAGCGGCAUCCCUGUGUGGAGCACACUGUCAUGCUCUGCUCGAGGUGUGCUCCUGGGGCUGUUGAAUGAAAUUCUUUCUGACAGAAGAAAAGUCAUGGCCAAACAGCUCAACAUGAGGGAAGAAGCCAAUGAAAGAGCAAAGACUGUUUUGGCAGGAAGCUUUGCUGAGAGUAGAAUUCCCUGUGAAAACCUUAAUUUUUAUUAAAAUUCUGUAUGUAAGCAUUCAACUGGAGUAAAGCUAUAUAGUUGGAAGAAAUAUUCCGGCUGUUAGACAUGAUUAAUUAUUACUGGAGCUUCUUUACAGCCACUUGGACUGAGUGCAAAGGCCAGGGAAUGUUCUCUUUACUGGCAGCCUGUUAGCUAGUGCCCUCAGUCACAUUAUUCCCUGAUCACAUCAGAGAUUAAUCCCCACAGCUCAGAGGGAAUGGGCAUCCUUCUUCUCUUUGGUCUUCUCCCACUGUGAAUUUUAUGUGUGCACAUUUCUCAGUACUGAAGAAAAUUCUUGAGGUGAAACCUUAUCACAGCCCUUAACAGAAUAUUGAAAACAAACCUUAAGGUGUUUGGAAGCAGGCAUGUGCUCGAAGGAAGGUAAACAUUCAGUGAUGGGAGGGAGCAGGGAGGAAGAACAGAUUCCAAAGAGCAAGCAGAAGUCAGGGAGUGUUGGCAGAGCUGUGAUAAAUCCUCUGAAUCCCAAAUAAUCAUGGCUGCUCCAUUUUAGAAAUUUGUCUGAUGUACAGAUGGGAGUUUUGCAAAGUCCUUCUCUCUUCUAUGGGGAGCACUGAAAUCCAUCCCCAGAAUUCCACAUAUUUCCUGUGGCACUCCCAAGUGGGCACUGCAGGGAAGGUCUAGGACUCAUGUGCUGAUGAUACCUGAGACCUUUUUAUGUCUGGUUUUCCAUUGCUGCAUUCAGGUCUGCGCUCUGGGCUCAUCCUGGCUGCAUAGUUUGUAUUUUGGGAUAAAAGUGUCUCCUAAACCUUGUGAAUGACUUGGCAGCACCCAGGAGCUGGCUGGUGGAGGGCAGCUGGUGGCACAGUCAUCAGCACAGUCACUAUUUAUAUCCAUUUAUCUCUAUUAGGAGAUCAUUUGUUUGAGCCUCUUCAACUUGAUUUGGGUUGUGCUCCCACUUGGAGCCUGGUUGUGAGCGGAUACAAUCAACCUGUUUGGAGCAGUUAAUACCUUAAUGAGCCAGAGAUUUUGAUGACUUUUUUUUUUUUUUUUCAGAAGCUUAAACUAUUAAUUUAACAUCAAAGGAUGUGUUAAUAACAAGACAAAGUAAAUGCUUUUAACAGUGAUGACAGAUGACGUUCCUGUUUAUUUAGUAAUACCAAAGGCAAAUCACCCCAACAAGCUGAAAGCUCUAAUUGUGAGAUCUUAUCAGAGUAAUUGCCAUUUUUCUGAGAUCAUGCUACCAGUGGAAAGUGAAUAGGGCUUUUUUUUUCUCAUUUUCAUAACUCUGAAAAAUACAGGGCACUAACUGCUUUCACAGGGCACUGCAAUCUUCUGGUGCCUGAUAAGCCUGAGCCUUGCCAAGAGGCAGCUAUUGCUCUGUAAUCUGCAAUUUCCUAUUUCUUCUUGGUUAUCUGAUAUGGGAGGGAAUUUUUUUUCCAGAACAGAGCAAAAGCUUUUCACACUGUGUAGAUUUGGAUAAUUGUUUUUGGAGGUAAUGACUUUGUGUAAAAUGUGUUAGCAAAAGGAAUUCUGUCAUUUUCCUCCCCUAAGUUAUCAAUAUGGAAAUGUGUUCUUGUAUCCUACACAACAAUUCUGUGUUCUGGGCUCAUACUCAAUUGCACUCUGACAUGGAAAUAGAAACAUGAGUGGUGAAUGAGCUUCAUCCUAUAAAAAUCUGGGCUCCUUCUGUAGCCUCUGAAAAAUUCUUCAUUAUUUUCCUGACUUUCCUUAUCUGCAUAAGUGGAAAAUAAUUUUCUGCAGCCUUGUUGUGUGAGAAACUUGAUUCACCAAGUGAAAAGUGUUUUUUAUUUCUCUCAAAUGAUCUCAAAA